rnacentral:rRNA from 1 species
CGCGGAGGAUGCAAGCGUUAUCCGGAUUCAUUGGGUUCAAAGGGUGCGCAGGCGGGCAUUUAAGUCAGUGGUGAAAAGCUGCCGCUUAACGGUAGUCUUGCCAUUGAUACUUUUUGUCUUGAGUUUGUUUGAGGUAGGCGGAAUGUGCAGUGUAGCGGUGAAAUGCAUAGAUAUUGCACGGAACUCCGAUUGCGUAGGCAGCUUACUAGACCAAUACUGACGCUCAUGCACGAAAGCGUGGGGAUCAAACGGGA